rnacentral:rRNA from 1 species
CUGGUUGAUCCUGCCAGUAGUCAUAUGCUUGUCUUAAAGACUAAGCCAUGCAUGUCUAAGAAUAAGCCCUUUGAAAGGUGAAUCUGCGAAUGGCUCAUUAAAUCAGUUAUUGUUUAUUUGAUGGUACCUUACUACUUGGAUAACCGUAGUAAUUCUAGAGCUAAUACAUGCUUACAUAGCCUCGACUAGACUUGUCUGGAAGAGGUGCAUUUAUUAGAUUCAAACCAUUGGUUCUUUACGGAUCCUUUAAUGGUGAGUCAUAAUAACUGAGCGAAUCGAAUUUAACCCUUGUGGUUGUCGAUGCUUCAUUCAAAUUUCUGCCCUAUCAGCUUUCGAUGGUAGGAUCUUGGCCUACCAUGGCUAUAACGGGUAACGGGGAAUUAGGGUUCGGUUCCGGAGAGGGAGCUUGAGAAACGGCUACCACAUCCAAGGAUGGCAGCAGGCGCGCAAAUUACCCAAUCCCGACACGGGGAGGUAGUGACAAUAAAUAACAAUGCUGGACUAUUUUUAGUCCGGCAAUUGGAAUGAGAGUAAUUUAAACCAAUACUCGAGGACCCANUGGAGGGCAAGUCUNG